rnacentral:lncRNA from 1 species
CUGAUUUUGGAUUACCUUUUUCUUAAAGAAAAGAAAAAUCUGUCUUUUGCCACCAGUGCACCACGUAACCCUAACUAAUCAUUAUGGCCAGGUCUGAAUUCUAACCAGUAGCUUCUGAAGGAUCACAUCAUGGAACUGAGAAACGACCUUGUCUUAAAAUCUAAUGUCACGUGGACUCUGCAGAACUCUGAGGGGGAGCCAGCCUGCCCAGAGCCCUCGUAUCUUUUGGUUCAUACAUCGCUAGAGCUCAUUGAAUGGGGAUGGGGAGAGAAACUUUCUCUUCUGGGUUUGCCCCUGCUGCAUCCCAUAUUUCCAUGACCAAGUGGGAGAGAGCCACUUUAACAUCCUCUUCUAGUCCUCCGUUCUGCAUGUCUUCCUUUCCCACUCCUCUAGCAUGUCUAAUACCACCUUUCUUCUUCUGGUGUUAGAAUCUGUGCCUGGAAUCAUGAUCCUCUCCUUUGCUGAGCUAUUUAUGAAACUCAGGGACUUAAUGCUCCAAUCCAGAAUCAGCUCCCGGGACUGCACCUUUGUGCAGAAUGUUAUUGAGGAUUGGUGAGUGGCUUCAUGGAAACCCCGAAUGUUCUAUUCCUACCCAAGCCAAAACAUCCUAGCUAGGUAUUUAGGUCCCAGUAUUGAUCCUGGAAGGCAUCAGUUGUGCCUCUGAUCAUUGAUUCAUCAUUAGGAAGAACUGAACCAAGUCUGAUGGCUUUUUUAAAAGGAGGCUAUAUUAAUGAGAUUUGAGCGUGAGCAAACACUUUCAUUUUCUACUUGGGAAGCAACACACCAGUGCCAGCACUAGCCAUUCGAGAUGAUGCUGCCCCCAGU